rnacentral:lncRNA from 1 species
GUUGGUAUUGGCUGGCAAAGAACUAUACAAAUGUUUUUCAACAAAACUUGAAGAUUGUACAAAUUCUCUCUGAAUCGUUUUUUAUGAUUUUUUUUUCUUCCCCCCCACCACUAGUAAGAAAAUAAAUAAUUAUGUAAAAACAGAUCACAGGUUUAUAGACAAACACAGCCUUCUCAUUUUGAUACAGAGCUAUCAUAGAAUAAGAUAUCAUGCAAUUUUCUCUUUGAUAUAAAACAUUUAGCGGCCACAAAAUCUGUCAACACAACACAAAUGAAGGAGGAGAGACUUAGAAGCUUGAAUUUUUGUUUGUGUCAACAUUUCAAACCCAUCCUGAAUGCGCUCUGUUAAUGAUCUUUUACUGGCAGGAAUCUGCAAUGUAACUAGUGUCGCCGUUUUAAUCAGGGUUGCUUCUUCUAAAUGUAAAUUUAAGGGAUAAUCCCAGUUGGUUAAUGCCAUGUUCUCGGGUAGAGAAUUGUAAAUGGGAUCAGAGCCAUAUACAUUUAAAACAUAGCUGUCAAACAGCAAGUUUCAAAUGUCAGUGUCACUAUAGCACAUAUUGAUGAAAAAAUAGCAUUUUUACACAAUGAUGUAUAUAGCAUUGUUACUAGGCUACUUUUAGGGGUAAGCUAUAGUAAGGGUUAGGUGGCCAUUAUGGUAAGGUUAGAAGUAAGGGUAGGUUAAGUUUAAGGAGUCUGUAAUAUUAGGGGUUGUUAGGGAUAAAGGCCUUAAGGUUGGGAAGGGUUUUUGUAAAGAUAACCUUGGGAUAGUUAGUACGUGCCUUUAACAUCCUGUGGAUGGUAGUUCACAUGACAGUGAAAGCAAUUACACCGUAUCUUGAAGGUAGAUACUACCUUGACCUAAGGCUCUCAACCCUAACUCCCAUUAACAGCAUAAUUACUUCACUAUAAUAGUGACUUUUGAAUUCCUGAAUUCCAUAAUUUAAACACGGACAAUUUGAAUGUGAAUUUACUCGAUUUACUGAUCUCAAAGUAACCGCUGAUCUUGUCUGUAAAGUUUGUGUUACUUAAAGAAGGCCAAUUGUCCCUGUGAAAUAAAUUUAAAAAAAACAUUGUUCUCCUUUGGAGAAAUAUUGAACUAUAUUACAUUAUAUUACAGUACUUAAAAAUGGCAAGCAUAUUUUCAUAUAUAUUUUGUAAACCAUAGCGUAGGCCAGUGAUGGCUUAUAUUAGUAUCUCAGAUGUUUAAGGAACUACAUUUCCUAAAGAAUCGGAAAAUGCUGUCCACAAAAAAUUGGAGUUAGUUUCAGUCAUUCAACAGUUGGCCACAUUUAGACAAGAAAAUGUUUAACUAGGAUAUUCAUCAAAAUGCACCCAAGUCAAAGUUGGCCAAGCAUUGUGCAAUAGUUGGACCAUACCAGUUUAUUGUAAAAAGCUCAAGUUACUGAACUUGCACGAGCUGAUAACUUAUAUUCAAUGGACUUCACCAACGUAACCUGAAUGCAGUAUAUUGUGUUCAUUAGUAAUGAUUCAUAAAGUAUAAUUGUAUGCAAGAUCUGGUACGUUGUAACUAAAAUCCAACCAAACUUGUGGUUUAGGGUAAUAUAUUAACGCUCA